GAGCGUGAUGAUAUGCUGAUGUCGCCCCAGUCUUACGAUCCGUUCACCUGGUGAAUGGACGAUGGUGAUUGACAUUUUGUAUCUGAUUC